rnacentral:rRNA from 1 species
AUUGAACGCUGGCGGCAUGCCUUACACAUGCAAGUCGAACGGUAACAGGUCUUCGGAUGCUGACGAGUGGCGAACGGGUGAGUAAUACAUCGGAACGUGCCUAGUAGUGGGGGAUAACUACUCGAAAGGGUGGCUAAUACCGCAUGAGACCUACGGAUGAAAGCAGGGGAUCGUAAGACCUUGUGCUACUAGAGCGGCCGAUGGCAGAUUAGGUAGUUGGUGGGAUAAAAGCUUACCAAGCCGACGAUCUGUAGCUGGUCUGAGAGGACGAUCAGCCACACUGGGACUGCGACACGACCCAGACUCCUACGGGAGGCAGCAGUGGGGAAUUUUGGACAAUGGGCGCAAGCCUGAUCCAGCAAUGCCGCGUGCAGGAUGAAGGCCUUCGGGUUGUAAACUGCUUUUGUACGGAGCGAAAAGGCUUCCACUAAUACUGGGGGCUCAUGACGGUACCGUAAGAAUAAGCACCGGCUAACUACGUGCCAGCAGCCGCAGUAAUAC